UUACUGCAACUUAAAAUUCUUAAAGGGAUCACAUCCAAAUAAAAGAACGUAUCUAACAUAUUGCGUGGUAACAAAACAGGUGUCAAAUAAGCAGCCUGUGUGCAACACUGAAUAUAUGGGAUGAACAAUGUUUAACGUAUACUUUUUUUUUUUUUUGAGUAAGUAUGAGGAAGGAUAGGCACUUCUAGUUUCCCAUAUUCAGAUUAUUCAGUCAGACAGAGAGACUCUAAAUGACAAGAACAAACUUUAAGAGACAUCAUGGAAUCUUCAUAUAAAGAGUUGGAGCGGACCUCUUGUUGAAGAACUUCUCCAGGCACUGUGAACCAUCUGAUUAGCCAUCCUGUUUAACACUGCACUGAGGACACUACAACCAGAGAGGGCUGUUCGUGAAGAUAGAAAAUUGAGAGUUAUUGUGACAACCUGGACAGAAUUCAGCUCCAGAUCCAUCCUCAACACCAGACUUCUCACUCACAAGGAUUGCUGUCUACUAGCAUAUUAUGUG
ensembl:lncRNA